GACGAACGCUGGCGGCGUGCUUAACACAUGCAAGUCGAACGGCAAGGCCCUGCUUUUGUGGGGUGCUCGAGUGGCGAACGGGCGAGUAACACGUGAGUCACCUGCCCUUGACUUUGGGAUAACUUCAGGAAACUGGGGCUAAUACCGGAUAGGAGCUCCUGCUGCAUGGUGGGGGUUGGAAAGAUUCGGCGGUUGGGGAUGGACUCGCGGCUUAUCAGCUUGUUGGUGGGGUAGUGGCUUACCAAGGCUUUGACGGGUAGCCGGCCUGAGAGGGUGACCGGCCACAUUGGGACUGAGAUACGGCCCAGACUCCUACGGGAGGCAGCAGUGGGGAAUAUUGCACAAUGGGCGGAAGCCUGAUGCAGCAACGCCGCGUGCGGGAUGACGGCCUACGGGUUGUAAACCGCUUUCGCCUGUGACGAAGCGUGAGUGACGGUAAUGGGUAAAGAAGCACCGGAUAACUACGUG
rnacentral:rRNA from 1 species